GAAGAAAUUGGAUCUCAAAAAAUAAAUGAUAAAUUUAAAAAAUUGAACAAGCGUUUUUGCCAUUUUUCGGAAAGCAAAUUAAUAUCUAGAGAAAGUCAGGAUGAAUUUAUCUCUGUCUUAUCAAUAAUACCAGGAUCAAUUGAAUUGUUUACAGAUGUUGCAAUGAAGCAAGUAAUCGCGAGACGAGCUUCUUGUGAGCAAAUAAGAAAUUUAAAUCAUACUUGUACGUGUAUUUGCCAUAUGGAUAUUCUCACACCACAUUGUCAAUGCCCAUGCUGGAAGGACUUUAUUAAAAAGGAUCCCUGUUUUUCUGUCGACGACGUUCGAAAGUUGUGUAAAAAUUUAAUUACUCAAAUGUUGGAGAAAGUAACAAAAAUUUUUGAUGAAAUUCUUUAUCAAAGAUUGAAUA